ACACACGUGCCUGAGUGUUGAAGACCCCAGUAGCUGGAAAAAGGCCAAGAAGAUGCCCAUGUUUCAUCUUGCUGUGGCAGAUUGACGGUUGCUGUGGA